rnacentral:lncRNA from 1 species
AAGGUAAUAACCAACCACCCCAGGCAUAUGAUGGUCUCCUAAAGGCGACACUGCUAUGUGCUCAACACUGCCUGAGAAAAGAACUAUACUGUUGUCUACCUGCUUGGAAUAGUUUGAGGAGCAGAGUGUAUGGAAAGAGCUCAAAGCCAAGAGUGUGUCUGGCACUACAGCUUGGGACCAGUUCAAGGACCUCCUCUGAUUUCUGGGAUUCUUCCUUACGGCCAAUUUUUGAAGAUCAAACUACUUUGACACUCAAGGUCAAAUGGAGAUGAAGACAGAAUCUAAUAACUGCUAAGUAUAUUGAUUUCAAUAGAGCUGGAAAAAUACAGUGAUUAAGUUAAGACUCACGGGUUAAUAAGAUGGUUGCUGAAGUCAUGGGCAAAGUGUAUGGAGGUCAACUGUUUAUUCUGAAGUGCACCAAACAGUAAAAUGAAUUGAUGACUCAAUAGAAACAAAUGGAUUAAUGAACACGUUUGAUAAAACAUUAACAUCCAACUUCAGUAGUGUACACUGUGAAAUUUGUUUCUUUUCCUGCUCUUGAUUUUUUUUAAUGUUAAAAUAUUAGAAGCAAACACUUUGGAAUCCAUGCAACCAGGCCAAUCUGAAUAGCAAUACUGAUUCACCAGAAAUACUUCACCACCACUUAAUUCUAGGAAGGAAAGUUUACUCAUAGUAACUCAUGAGGAUUAGAUUUGUCAUCAAUAGUUUGGGAUCAAUGUGCUAUAUUUUGCAUCAUAUCAACCCAUGGAUGUAUGAGAUUUUAUAAAAGAAUAUAUCAUCCUCUAGGAAUAGAGAAAAUAUGAUAGAAAAAUCAAAGUUUCAUGGGUGUAAAUGGUAAAACAAGAGUGUACUUCUUAUCAGCAUUAAGUUGUUCAUUUUUAAGCAAGUGUAAAGAAAAUAUACACCUCUACAUUUAAGUAAUUUUGUUUCUUGUAACCUCUAUCCUGGGCAUAUUGGUUACACCAUCACAAUGCCUAUUGCAGCUUUGUAAACAGACCCUGGCCUUUUAAGGUUUCUUUGUAUUUCUUGGCAGUGGUGUGU